rnacentral:rRNA from 1 species
CGCAAGGCGGCGCUACACAUGCAGUCGAGCGAGAACUUCGGUUCUAGCGGCGGACGGGUUAGUAACGCGUGGGAACGUGCCCUUCACUACGGAAUAGUCCCGGGAAACUGGGUUUAAUACCGUAUACGCCCUUCGGGGGAAAGAAUUUCGGUGAAGGAUCGGCCCGCGUUAGAUUAGAUAGUUGGUGGGGUAACGGCCUACCAAGUCUACGAUCUAUAGCUGGUUUUAGAGGAUGAUCAGCAACACUGGGACUGAGACACGGCCCAGACUCCUACGGGAGGCAGCAGUGGGGAAUCUUAGACAAUGGGCGCAAGCCUGAUCUAGCCAUGCCGCGUGAGUGAUGAAGGCCUUAGGGUCGUAAAGCUCUUUCGCCAGGGAUGAUAAUGACAGUACCUGGUAAAGAAACCCCGGCUAACUCCGUGCCAGCAGCCGCGGUAAUACGGAGGGGGUUAGCGUUGUUCGGAAUUACUGGGCGUAAAGCGCGCGUAGGCGGAUUGGAAAGUUGGGGGUGAAAUCCCAGGGCUCAACCCUGGAACUGCCUCCAAAACUAUCAGUCUAGAGUUCGAGAGAGGUGAGUGGAACUCCGAGUGUAGAGGUGAAAUUCGUAGAUAUUCGGAAGAACACCAGUGGCGAAGGCGGCUCACUGGCUCGAUACUGACGCUGAGGUGCGAAAGUGUGGGGAGCAAACAGGAUUAGAUACCCUGGUAGUC